rnacentral:rRNA from 1 species
GACGAACGCUGGCGGCGUGCUUAACACAUGCAAGUCGAACGAAGAGCGACGGAAGCUUGCUUCUAUCAAUCUUAGUGGCGCACGGGUGAGUAACGCGUAAUCAACCUGCCCUUCAGAGGGGGACAACAGUUGGAAACGACUGCUAAUACCGCAUACGAUCUAAUCUCGGCAUCGAGGAUGGAUGAAAGGUGGCCUCUACAUGUAAGCUAUCACUGAAGGAGGGGAUUGCGUCUGAUUAGCUAGUUGGAGGGGUAACGGCCCACCAAGGCGAUGAUCAGUAGCCGGUCUGAGAGGAUGAACGGCCACAUUGGGACUGAGACACGGCCCAGACUCCUACGGGAGGCAGCAGUGGGGAAUCUUCCGCAAUGGACGAAAGUCUGACGGAGCAACGCCGCGUGAGUGAUGACGGCCUUCGGGUUGUAAAGCUCUGUUAAUCGGGACGAAAGGCCUUCUUGCGAAUAGUGGGAAGGAUUGACGGUACCGGAAUAGAAAGCCACGGCUAACUACGUG